GAUGAACUCUGGCGGCGUGCCUAAUACAUGCAAGUCGAGCGAACAGACGAGGAGCUUGCUCCCCUGACGUUAGCGGCGGACGGGUGAGUAACACGUGGAUAACCUACCUAUAAGACUGGGAUAACUUCGGGAAACCGGAGCUAAUACCGGAUAAUAUAUUGAACCGCAUGGUUCAAUAGUGAAAGACGGUUUUGCUGUCACUUAUAGAUGGAUCCGCGCCGCAUUAGCUAGUUGGUAAGGUAACGGCUUACCAAGGCGACGAUGCGUAGCCGACCUGAGAGGGUGAUCGGCCACACUGGAACUGAGACACGGUCCAGACUCCUACGGGAGGCAGCAGUAGGGAAUCUUCCGCAAUGGGCGAAAGCCUGACGGAGCAACGCCGCGUGAGUGAUGAAGGUCUUCGGAUCGUAAAACUCUGUUAUUAGGGAAGAACAAAUGUGUAAGUAACUAUGCACGUCUUGACGGUACCUAAUCAGAAAGCCACGGCUAACUACGUG
rnacentral:rRNA from 1 species